rnacentral:ncRNA from 1 species
AUUUAAAUUUAUAAUAUCGGGGAUUUAAGAUAGUAAUAUCUUAUUAGAAAUUGGCUAUAUGCUGGAACCUCCUUAGAGCUUUAAGUACUUAAAUUUAAAAAGAAAGUUAAAAUCUUAAAGAUUGGACAAUCAGCAGGGAAGUUAUAUAAAAUAGGUUAUAGCGACUGUUUUAAAUUUAUAUAAUCCCUCAACGACUACACGCCAACAUCCAGUGCUUCAUAAAUUGUAUUCUUUAUGCUGGAUGAAGAUAUAGUCUAAACUUAAUUGAAAGAUUAAG